rnacentral:misc_RNA from 1 species
AGCUGAUUUAGGCAACAAAACUCCACCAGUUGAUUUCUGCAGCACAAAGUGCACAACAACUCAUAGUAAGAAGAUUUUAUGAAUAAAACUAGUAAAUAUGAAACGAACAAAAUCUAUCCCAUUAACAAGCAACUAAAUAGCAUAAAGAGUCAAGUCCAACAUAAACACGGAUAAAGUUUGAUUUGUGUUGUAAAUGUUGACAGAACAGACGCAGUGAAGCACACCUCAGAUAAUUCUUCAAGACGAAUAAGGACUCUAUCCACUUGGGGAACAACCUGCGACUUAGUCCAAUAAGCAUAACCAACAAAAAGCUUGUGACACUAUAACAGAGAGGGAAAAGGAUAAAAACAGGAGAUCCGAAGUGGAAAAAAGAAGAGCAAAUUGUAUUGUAUUUCUACGUAGAAAUUAG